GGUCAGAUAUGCCGAUUUUGAAGUGCCGCAGAACUGAGCGAUACUCGCGCUGUGUGUUCAUUACCGAACACUGAAUAUGUGUGCGAAAUAUCUUGCUCCAACUGUUCGUAGUUUUUUAGAAAACAGUUUUUUUAGUUCCCACGCCCGGUCGUCAGACCGUCGGCAAACCCUGCGCACGGGCGCACCGACGUCACUGCUCUCGGUUUAUCUGUCUUUGGCUUGGCAUGGACUCUUGGCUUGGCUGCUUGGCUUCUUUCGUUUCCUCCUCUGUGGAUCGUACAUAAGCGAACAGCUGUUAUGUUGUUGCUAAGCCGGAAACAAAGCAUGUGAAUGUUUUUUUUUGGCACAGCGUCGUUGGGAAAGUGCACUUCCUUGUUCUGACCUUGCCUUUUAUGGGCUGGAGCGAUAUGAAUCGUAAAUAUGCCACGGCGAAGUUGUCGAAGAUGCGAGAGUGCUACGCUGUUAGAACAAUUCAUCGGUGCAUUCAAGUGUUACCUAUUAUAAGCUGCCAAAAGACCAAGCAGUGCGAAGCUCUUGGCUGACAGUGGUGCCUGCUAAUUUCCACUGCAAGGAUUUCGUCCACGAAUGUUAUCAUAGGUUACGCGCGACUCCAGAGGCAAUUUGGAAUCUCGGCACGAAAUCGUCUGAUGAAAAUCUGAGGUGCCCGACGCAUAACAUUUUGAACGUGCCACGGAGGAUCAAGGCAAAAAACGAGAGCAAAAAAUGGUGCACGCUGAAGGCGGAAAUGAAGCAUGAUCUGGCUUGCAUCUGGUCAUGAAGAAAUUGCUGACACGUUAGUUGCAGUCCACCUCCACCAACAGGGUGGAAAACAAAGAUCGCCAUUCCGAUUAGCUGCUAUCUCCCAGUUCAAGCACUUUUGUGUCUGGACACUGGUUCCUGUGGAUGGGGUGUUACAAGCUUUACUGUCUGAUAUAGAAGUGAUGAGCAUCCAUAAGGACACAUGCCAGAAAGGGAGUCUCUUUGGGAUGACAAACCCUCAUCACCUCAUGAGGAUACAAUGGUUGACGAAUGGUUCUCAAGCACAUCGAAACUUCCAACAAAUAAUUCAUGAAAAAGCCAGUCAGUGCUAGCACCAGGAAUUGAACGUGGGCCAUCCUGCUAGCAGUCAGAGAUGUUCAGUGGUGUAGCCACGAGGGGGCUAGGGGGUCUCGAGCCCCCCCUACCUGCCACGGACCGACCCACACAAAUCGUGCAAAUCCGAGAACAUAAUAUAUGGGGGGGGGGACCAGUGUGACUAUCGCGAAAGUUCUUGCAGUUCAUGGCGUCUAUCUAAGAAGCAUUCUUGAAUGGUUUUCAAAGUAUGAGCUUUUCAAAAUACUUCCAAUCUCGUGACACCACUUCAUUGGUCAUGACAGCCUAUACAUGUAAUCGUACUGUGAACAUCUAAAUCAACUAUUUUCGUUCCCUUUUUUAAUCCUCAGUUUGAAGUGUGCACAAGUAUGUGUGUGUUGUCGACACAGGAUCAGCGGGGGGGGGGGGGGGG